CAAUAGCGUAUAUUAAAGUUGUUGCAGUUAAAAAGCUCGUAGUUGAAUUUCUGGGCGGCCCGCCGGUCUUCCAUGUGUUGUACUGGGCGGCGCCGGCCAUCCUUGUGGAGAGGGCUCGCAUUUGGUUGCGUGUCGGAUCUGCAUCAUUUACUGUGAAAAAAUUAGAGUGUUUAAAGCAGGCUGUCGCUUGAAUACAUUAGCAUGGAAUAAUAAGAUAGGACUUCGGUCUAUUUUGUUGGUUGCGAACCGAGGUAAUGAUUAAUAGGGAUAGUUGGGGGUAUUCAUAUUUAAUUGUCAGAGGUGAAAUUCUUGGAUUUAUGAAAGAUGAACAACUGCGAAAGCAUUUACCAAGGAUGUUUUCAUUAA
rnacentral:rRNA from 1 species